rnacentral:misc_RNA from 1 species
AUUUUUUUUUUUUUUGAAAUCCAGAAGCUCAGAUUCUUGUAAGAUUCACCAAAAUAACAAACCCAAAAGUUCAAACAGCUUGAUUUUGAAGUGGGUCAUGGUAGAUUCAGGUUGCUGUAACACACAUGAUUGGUAUAUAUGCUUGAGGUAAAUGAAAGUCAGAUUUGGUUCGCUGUAUGCUAAGUUCUAUUCCCUUUGUCCUCUCUCUCUCUCUUUCUCUCU